CCUGCAGAACUACAAGGACACGUUAAAAAGAGCCCAGUGCACAAGCCCAGAUCCAGAGCUUGUUUCUGGAGCGCUGAUCAAUGUGGCAAAGCACCUGGGAAACCUGCAGGUCAGAGUUUUGGAGAAGAUGCUGAAGUCUGUUCAAUACACGCCUGUGAUUCUGGACCCCAACACUGCCCAUCCAU